UCUCCCAGAGACAUGUGCACACGCACUGUGCCAGCAGACAGCUUCAGCCCUCAGCAACUGAUGCACAGGCAGUUGCUGUUUCUUCCUUCCCCUCGUUUUUUUUGCUCCCUUAACCAUUCUCCUUCUUUCGUUUCUUCCCUACCUACACUGCCUCUAUUCAUCCCUCCUGUACUUUCCCCCUUGCCUUUCCUCUAAUCUGUCAUUCUGCCCGGCACUUUUCUUCAGCGGGAUAUAAAGGCAGGUCCUGUUGGAGGGAGAGGGCUUGUGUAAUCUGUGGCUGCACAUGAGCAGCCGAGAAUCGUAGCUUCAGCUGGAGACGCAACAGAGGGCCUACGAAACCAAAAACCAAAAGUAAAUAGGGGAGGAAGACCUCCCGGGGAAGAAAAAGAAAAAAAGUAGGAGAAGAAGAGAUCUGCUGCAAGAAAUUGGAGUUAAGGUGCAGGACAUACACCAUGCCGGGCUCAUUGGUGCUGCUGCUGCUGUCUCUGUUGGCCCUGUCCACAGGAAGUGAUGCCAGAAGAAUCAGGAAAAGAGGACUCAACCAUAAGGAUUACGAGUACCCCAACCACUCCCAGUCCACACAGCACCAAAAGAACGACCGGUGUCCACCUCCUCCCCAGAUGCUGCCAGAGCGAGCGUGCGAGGUGCCCGGCUGCCGCUCAGACUCAGAGUGUGAGCGCCACAAGCGCUGCUGCUACAAUGGCUGCAUCUACGCCUGCCUGGAGUCUGUCCAGCCACCACCAGUGCUGGACUGGCUUGUGCAGCCCAAGCCUCGGUGGUUGGGGGGAAACGGCUGGUUGCUAGAUGGACCCGAGGAGGUACUGCAAGCUGAGGCCUGCAGCACAACUGAGGAUGGAGACGAACCCCUUCACUGCCCCACAGGCUACGAGUGCCACAUCAUCAACCAAGGAAACCCUGUUGCUGGCAUCCCAAAUCGGGGACAGUGCAUCAAGCAGCGAGGCAACUCUGAUGGACGUGGCUUGAGGCACAAAUACUUUAAGGACUACAAGGACUUCUUAGGUAAGUAGUGUACCAGUUCUAACAAUGCAGUCGGCUAUGAAAAACAUCAUCACAAGCACCUGGGAUAAAAUCAGCCUGACCUCGCUACGACCAUAACACAACCUCAGACAUCAGUCCAGUCCCGUUUGAUCUGCUCACACCCGAACCAGGAUCAGAUCUGACCUUUAGAACCACAUCAACAGCUGCUACCUCCUCUUUUCACGGAGCGUCCUCUCGCGGCCUCGCCACAGCCGCGUGUCCUUCCAAAGAAAUAAAUGCUUCUUUUUUUGUGUGUGUGUGUGUGUGUGUCUCUCCCCCUCUCUGAUGGACGGAUGCUGGUGGUGAUGAGGCAGAGGAAUAGAGAGCAGGGUGUGCGCCAAAGCUGUUUAUCACACUCAAAGAAAUAACAUUUCCAUUUUUUUUUAAUUAUUUCUUUUUACAAAUUUCUCAUUCGCAACUCAUUCUUAUUCUCUCUAACCUUGAGGUGGGUCAGCUGAGAAAAUCAAAACCACGUGUCCGUCUCAUUCACUCCUAAGAGGACUCUGGUUAAAAUUCUUCCUCUGAAAUGUGUUUUUAUAGACAUAAAAAAAUCCAGAUGUAGUGGUUACAUCAUUGAAUCAAAUCCAAAUGGGAUUUAAUAUUUGAGCUAAUCACUAAUUAAGAGACCACACGUGUGUGUGGUUGUUUCUGAAGGAUGUAAAACAGCUGUAAAAGUUUUUAGCCAACAGCCAGCUGUCUGUGACUUCAUCGCUAUGCAAAGCAGAAGUAAAACUUAUUCACAGAAGCUUCGACCUCUGAUGUCUUUAAACUUUAAAGCAAAUGCGUUAAAGUGCUUUCUAUGGAAGAGGCUGAUUCAAAUGAACCUCUGUACGUAUCAUAUCAUCUGGAAUUAACUUCCCCAAAUAAAUGAACUGAAGUGAUGCUUUUAUUAUUGAUCAAGCAUUUCAUAUGUUUUUUUGUCUAUAUGUGUGGGUCAUCAAUUUAAGAGUUGACAACAAACUAUAUAAUCAGUUAAUUUAAUUAUUAGUGACAGUCCCUGGUGCGGUACAGAGAUAAUACAGUCAAGAAAGGGACCCUUGUACAGUGCGGAUAUUUAAAACGGGCCAAAAGAUUUCGUUUAUUUUUCUCAAACUUUACUUUUCUAAUCUUUCUAAGCUCUAAAGGUGCUCUGUUUAAACUGCUGCCUUGAAUAACAGAAGGAUAAGCUGAAGGUGUGAAACAAACUCUAUGACUAAAGUGAUGUCUGAAUGUUGCUAUCUGACUGGUGCUACAUUGUUUAUUCUAAAUAAACAACAUUAUUGGAAUCA